rnacentral:rRNA from 1 species
UCGGAUUGAAGGCUGAAAUUACGCCUUCCAUGAAGCUGGAAUUGCUAGUAAUGGCAGGUCAGCAUACUGCCGUGAAUACGUUCCCGGGCCUUGUACACACCGCCCGUCACACCAUGGGAGUUGGAAAUACCCGAAGCCUGUGAGCUAACUUUUAGAGGCAGCAGUCGAAGGUAGAGCCAAUGAUUGGGGUGAAGUCGUAACAAGGUAGC